rnacentral:rRNA from 1 species
ACGGAAGGCAGCAGUGGGGAAUCUUGCGCAAUGGGCGAAAGCCUGACGCAGCGAUGCCGCGUGCGGGAUGAAGGCCUUCGGGUUGUAAACCGCUUUCAGCAGGGACGAAAUUGACGGUACCUGCAGAAGAAGCCCCGGCCAACUACGUGCCAGCAGCCGCGGUAAUACGUAGGGGGCGAGCGUUGUCCGGAUUUAUUGGGCGUAAAGAGCUCGUAGGCGGUUCGAUAAGUCGGACGUGAAAUCUCCACGCUCAACGUGGAGGGGCCGUUCGAUACUGUCGUGACUCGAGUCCGGUAGGGGAGUGUGGAAUUCCCGGUGUAGCGGUGAAAUGCGCAGAGAUCGGGAGGAACACCCGUAGCGAAGGCGGCACUCUGGGCCGGUACUGACGCUGAGGAGCGAAAGCGUGGGGAGCAAACAGGAUUAGAUACCCUGGUA